rnacentral:rRNA from 1 species
UACGGAGGGUGCGAGCGUUACUCGGAAUCACUGGGCGUAAAAGGCGCGUAGGCGGUCUAGCAAGUCUGGUGUGAAAGCCCAGGGCUCAACCCUGGAAGGGCACUGGAAACUGCUAGGCUUGAGUUCCGGGGAGGAGGGGGGAAUUCCCGGUGUAGCGGUGAAAUGCGUAGAUAUCGGGAGGAAUACCGGUGGCGAAGGCGCCCCUCUGGACGGAGACUGACGCUGGGGCGCGAAAGCGUGGGGAGCAAGUAGG